UGCAAUUGAGGGGUGGGUUUUUCUUUUUAUGUAUAGGGGGUCUCGGGGGAUUUGUAAGCCAAUCAUUUGUAAACAUUUAUAUAUUGUUAAAUCAUCAAGCUCUCACAAACAUUUGCUGUAGCAAUGGUUAUAUCAAAGUUUCUGAUUCCGAGUUUGAAUCACGGCAGGGGAAGAACUUUUUUUUUCCCUCAUUUAUCACAAGGAAUAGUUAAUUAAAACCUUUGAAAAUAAAAUGCCAAGUUGGGGAUGUAGCUCGCUACGCACGCGAGAAGUAUGGUGUUUGAUGUCACAUCCUGGCCCGAGCCCCUACCACAUUCCAAGCUCGACUCCGUUGUAGCACGAUAUUGUCCGUUUUUUGCCCCGACCAAGCCCUCACGGUUUUGUUUAUGUGAACUCACAUGAGAACUUCCCAGUAGGUCACCCAUCUUGGGAUUUCUCUUGCGCGAACUCACUUAACUUCGGAGUUCCGAUGGAAUCCGAAGCCAAUGAGCUCCCAAAAGGCCUCGUGCUAGGUAGAGAUGGGAAUAUACAUACAAGGCUUACAAGAUCCACUCUCCUGGGCGAUGUGGGAUGUAAUAAUCUACCCUCUUUAAGGGCCCGACGUCCUCGCCGGCACACCUCCAGCCAAGGAUUGGCUCUGAUACCAAAUUGUCACAGCCCGGCCUGGGUCCCCACCACAUCCCGGGCUCGACUACGCCGUAGCACGAUAUUGUCCGUUUUUUGCCCCGACCAAGCCCUCACAAUUUUGUUUCUGGGAACUCACAUGAGAACUUCCCAGUGGGUCACCCAUCCUGGGAUUUCUGUUGCGCGAACUCGCUUAACUUCGGAGUUCCGAUGGAAUCCGAAGCCAAUGAGCUCCCAAAAGGCCUCGUGCUAGGUAGAGAUGGGAAUAUACAUACAAGGCUUACAAGAUCCACUCUCCUGAGCAAUGUGGGAUGUAAUAAUCCACCCUCUUUAAGGGCCCGACAUCCUCGUCGGCACACCUCCAGCCAAAGAUUGGCUCUGAUACCAAAUUGUCACAUCCCGGCCUGGGCCCCCACCACAUCCCGGGCUCGACUACGCCGUAGCACGAUAUUGUCCACUUUGGGCCCCGACCAAGCCCUCACAAUUUUGUUUCUGGGAACUCACACGAGAACUUCCCAGUGGGUCACCCAUCCUAAGAUUGCUCUCACCCGAAUUCGUUUAACUUCAUAGUUCUGAUGGAACCCGAAGCCAGUGAGCUCCCAAAAGACCUCAUGCUAGGUAGAUAUGAGAAUAUACAUAUAAGGCUUACAAGAUCCACUCCCCUGGGCGAUGUGGGAUGUAACAUUUGAUAACCAGAAUCUUCAUUUUUUAUUUAUCCUUUUAUUUUUCUUCUUAAACGACAUGUUCAUAUGCUCUUUUCAGGUAUCUCAUUUUCCAAGUUCUCUCUCCUGCUCUCUCUAUAAUUCUUCAGCCAAAUAGGCGAACAACAUACUAUUAAUUGUCUAAUACAAUUUUUUUGUAAAGUUGUCUCGAGUCAUUUGCAGGUCAAGCAUUUGUAAACAUUUAUAUAUAAUUAACUCCUCAAGUUGUCACAAAGCAUCUGUUGUAGCAAUGGUUAAAUCAAUGUUAAUAUUCCAGGUUCGAACCCAUACAGUGAAUUUUUCCGCUCCAACAAAGAUCGUUUUUUUUUCUUUUUAUUGCAAGGAAUAGUUAAAUAAACCGUUGAAAACAAAAUGCCAGGUUGGGGAUGUUGCUCCCUAUGCAAGCGGG
rnacentral:lncRNA from 1 species